rnacentral:rRNA from 1 species
UACAGAGGGGGCAAGCGUUGUUCGGGAUUACUGGGCGUAAAGGGCGCGUAGGCGGCCUUCUAAGUCGAACGUGAAAUCCCCGGGCUCAACCCGGGAACUGCGUCCGAUACUGGAAGGCUUGAAUCCGGGAGAGGGAUGCGGAAUUCCAGGUGUAGCGGUGAAAUGCGUAGAUAUCUGGAGGAACACCGGUGGCGAAGGCGGCAUCCUGGACCGGCAUUGACGCUGAGGCGCGAAAGCCAGGGGAGCAAACGGG